rnacentral:lncRNA from 1 species
CUGGUUAGUUCAUAUUGUUGUCCACCUAUAGGGUUGCAGACCCCUUCAGCUCCUUGGGUGCUUUCUCUUUGCUGUAUAUUUUAAUAGUUCAAUAAUUACUUUAAUUUGCAAUUCAUUGCAGAGAGAAAUUCUGGCACAGCAUAAGGUGGGUGGUAAAUCACGUGGCAUAGCACAUUUUGACUCAUCUUUAUGCUGGACUCCCUUGGCUCUCUGAAGCAUCUCCACGGCAGGAGGGCCCUAUGAUGAUACAGCAACAUCUUGUGCUACCAACUGUCAAAACUUUGGAUGGUCUAACACUCAGGUCAUGACCCUUGUAAUUAAGAAAUUCUUGAAGACAAUAUUCAGGAGAAAAUGUGAUUUGAGUCUGGAGACAAUUGUGUAUGUGUACUUUUCUUAA